AUACGGAGGGUGCAAGCGUUAUCCGGAAUCACUGGGUUUAAAGGGUCCGCAGGCGGAUUAAUAAGUCAGUGGUGAAAUCAUCUCGCUCAACGAGAGAACUGCCAUUGAAACUGUUAGUCUUGAAUUCGGUCGAAGUAGGCGGAAUGUGUCAUGUAGCGGUGAAAUGCAUAGAUAUGACACAGAACACCGAUAGCGAAGGCAGCUUACUAGACCUGGAUUGACGCUCAUGGACGAAAGCGUGGGGAGCGAACAGGAUUAGAAACCCCAGUAGUCC
rnacentral:rRNA from 1 species